rnacentral:rRNA from 1 species
GGAAUUGUUCGCAAUGGGCGCAAGCCUGACGACGCAACGCCGCGUGGAGGAUGAAGAUCUUCGGGUCGUAAACUCCUUUCGAUCGAGACGAAUGGCCUCUGGGCUAAUCACCAGGGGACUGACGGUACCGAAUGAAUAAGCACCGGCUAACUCCGUGCCAGCAGCCGCGGUAAUACGGAGGGUGCGAGCGUUGUCCGGAUUUAUUGGGUUUAAAGGGUGCGUAGGUGGCUUUAUAAGUCAGUGGUGAAAUACGGUUGCUCAACAAUCGAGGUGCCAUUGAUACUGCAAAGCUUGAAAUAAUUGGAGGCUGCCGGAAUGGAUGGUGUAGCGGUGAAAUGCAUAGAUAUCAUCCAGAACACCGAUUGCGAAGGCAGGUGGCUACGAUUGGUUUGACACUGAGGCACGAAAGCAUGGGGAGCAAA